UGAACUUGCAUCCAUUGCAUGACGUGCAAAAUACAAUCGCCAUUCAUUUUAAUUCCACUGCUGGUUGAAGUUCUGCCCAGCGUGGACAUCUCAACACACUUGUGUGCUCUGAUGGCCAUCAUUCAAUGCGUCCUUUGAGCAACCCCUUAUUCAGCCUGCCUCUGUCCACAAUAACUUUAUUGUAGUGUUUUUUAAAUGUACAAGUUAAACGUGUUUUGUUUAUUUAUUUUGGCUGGCUCUAGUCAACAUGACUUUUUCUUUUUAAAUUACUUUUUUUUUUUAAAAUCGGCACAAAUUGAUUUACUUAAUCAGUUUCUUGUCAGGCAUAUCGACUCUCUUUUUAAAAGCAUUACAAUAUUUUGUCAUUCAUUCUUGUGACUUGUGGGCAAAUUCUGCGUAUAUAUUUAUCUUCCUAGGAUGAGUUUUAUGACAUUAAAGCUAAAUUCCAGCAGAAUAUAGUUUAAUGCCUGCCAUUUGAUCUGCAAACGUAGUUAAUGAUGUGGUGAUGGGCAUCCCAGUGUGUUGGUGGUGGACCACAAAGCCCUUCUGUUGUGUUUUAAUGUAUUGAUUUUCUCACGGUUGAGCACAGGCCUAAAAACAACAAGCGUUCAGUAGCAGACAGCGCUGUUGGAAGUUGUACUCGAUGAGGGAACACAUUUCUGGGAUUGGACAAGGUUAUAAGAACUUGAGAAAAGAGGACAAUACAUGCAACAUUUCAAUUUGCAUUUUCUCACAAUUUUUCGAGAGUUCUUUGCAUUUUUUUUUCAAAGAGAGAAGUGUAUGUAAAGUUUCAGUGUUAUUAUUAUUGCUAUUAAAAAAGGUACAAUUCACUUCCCAAGCUGUGCGUUGGGCAAAAAAAAAAUGUAGGCUGAAGGGAGUAUAAUUGGAAGAGUGUUUUUUGUUUGUUAAAAUUUAUGUUGAAAAGUGUGCGUUCAGGGCCAGAGGAAGAGCUCUUCAUCGACCGUAUCUCAAAUAUCCUGUGGACGUGUAAUUUAUGCGAUUGGUAAUGUAAAUAAAUUGCCGCUCCCGCAGCCUUCAUAAAGGUAGGUAUUGAGUUUCGUGAGUUACCCCCCCCCCUCCGAGUCUUUUUCUCCUCGGAAAUAAACUUUCCCUUCCUGAGGAAUUUCUGGGAGGUGCGAUGUUGAUUAGAUAUGUUUUAUGAACUGGCGCUGACAAGCACAGAAAGAAUUUAUAGCAAUUAGUUGAACAAUUUUCUCAAACAUCCUCUGAUUGGUUAUCAUUUGCCGGAGGCACAUGUGGAGCCCCCUGACCUUUUCUCAUAUCAACACAAGCGCUAACCUUACACAAACCCUCAUCGCCUCCUCCACCACCGGCGCAUACGGUCAGGACAUGUUUUUGCUAAGUUUGAUGGGGGAAAAAAUAAUCGCUUGAAUUUACGGUAACUCAAAAAAUGACCGAUGAGAUGGAAGGGCAGAGGUAGCUCAAGAAGGCAGAGUUCCACUCAUCACUGCCCAUUCACCGAACGUUCGCGAUGACAUUUCCUAUUAGGAGAGUGCAGAGUGCUGAUCUUUGUAAUACAGUGCUUUGGGACGUUUUGUGUUCGUGAAAGGCAUUGUACAAAGUAAAUAUAAUAAUAUUUAAUAGUAUCAAGGAGCAAUUUCACCCAAUUGUAAUGGCACUAGUUACUUGCUUGAUCAAGUCAAUAAAAAUGUAUUUGCAUUAUACACUAAUAUAUACACUUUGCAUAACCCAAUGAAAACAUAUUUGCAAUGUGGCAUGGCUAUUCAACCAGUCACGCACAAGCAAGGCUAAAAUUACUUGGAAAAGUGAAUAACGUGACAGAACAACAUAGAUUAAGACGGAUAAUCCAAUUACGUUAUUUUAUGUUAAUUCCCAUUAAAAUGUUUGUAAAGCUGGGAGAUUUGUUUGUUUUCACCAAGUCCUUGCGAUUACAUUCAUGUAGGAAAACAGCUAAAGGCCAGUUCGGUCUUCGCAGGUGUCUACUUAUAAUAUGGUUGAGUAUCUGACCUGAGUAGACAUUGCUAGAUGAAUAAAUAGCCAUGAACUCAACACAUCCGUAUUCCAAAGGUGUCUUUUUAACAUUUCAUUUAAUUAUAUUUCCCCACCCGACUGCAAGAGCAUUGUUAAAACAUGUGGCUUGGUGUCGUAGCCGGGCGGUGGCGGCUAUGCGGA